rnacentral:rRNA from 1 species
UACAGAGGGUGCAAGCGUUAAUCGGAAUUAUUGGGCGUAAAGCGCAUGUAGGUGGUUAUGUAAGUUUGAUGUGAAAGCCCUGGGCUUAACCUGGGAAUGGCGUUGAAUACUGCAAAACUUGAGUCGGACAGAGGGCGGUGGAAUUUCCGGUGUAGCGGUGAAAUGCGUAGAGAUCGGAAAGAACAUCGGUGGCGAAGGCGGCCGCCUGGGUCCAGACUGACACUGAGGUGCGAAAGCGUGGGGAGCAAACAGG